rnacentral:lncRNA from 1 species
CCACAGAAACACGCUCCAGAAUGUCACUGCGGAAACGAAAGAAUCAACAAACAAGCAGUUGAAAUCUAAAGCUGCAUUUAUAAAUAAAUUAGUCGAGAUUUAACAGACUCUUACUUGAGAAUUCUUUCGCUGAAACUAGAGAUUCGAGAAGAUUCUAUGGUGCUGAUGCUAGGGCUCCUAGAGGACUGACAACAGAGCUGCAAAUACUGCUGUCUCUUGAGCACGGCCGCCACCAACCUCUCCCAAUUGUCCCGAGACGACGACAACGGUAACGGCAUCUCUCUUUCACCUUUAUUCCGCAGUAGAUUUUUGUCAGAUUUGACAUCAUUAUCAUUAUUAACAUGGAAUUAAAAGUGCAAAACACUGAAAUUUCUUGGAUAUUGCUGCCAAAGCUCAGCUGGGA